UACGUAGGGUGCAAGCGUUAAUCGGAAUUACUGGGCGUAAAGCGUGCGCAGGCGGUUCGUUAAGUCAGAUGUGAAAGCCCCGGGCUCAACCUGGGAACUGCAUUUGAUACUGGGGAUCUCGAGUCCGGGAGAGGUGAGUGGAACUCCGAGUGUAGAGGUGAAAUUCGUAGAUAUUCGGAAGAACACCAGUGGCGAAGGCGGCUCACUGGCCCGGUACUGACGCUGAGGUGCGAAAGCGUGGGGAGCAAACAGG
rnacentral:rRNA from 1 species